rnacentral:rRNA from 1 species
CCUACGGGUGGCUGCAGUGGGGAAUAUUGGACAAUGGGCGAAAGCCUGAUCCAGCCAUGCCGCGUGUGUGAAGAAGGCCUUCGGGUUGUAAAGCACUUUCAGUGGGGAAGAAAGCCUUGGGGCUAAUACCCUCGAGGAAGGACAUCACCCACAGAAGAAGCACCGGCUAACUCCGUGCCAGCAGCCGCGGUAAUACGGAGGGUGCGAGCGUUAAUCGGAAUUACUGGGCGUAAAGCGCGCGUAGGCGGUCUGAUAAGCCGGUUGUGAAAGCCCCGGGCUCAACCUGGGAACGGCAUCCGGAACUGUCAGGCUAGAGUGCAGGAGAGGAAGGUAGAAUUCCCGGUGUAGCGGUGAAAGGCGUAGAGAUCGGGAGGAAUCCCAGUGGCGAGGGCGGCCUUCUGGACUGCCACUGACGCUGAGGUGCGAAAGCGUGGGUAGCAAACAGGAUUAGAUACCCAGUAGUC